GGACUUACCUGGCAGGGGAGACACCUUGAUCAUGAAGGAGGUUUUCCCAGGGUGAGGCUCAUCCAUAGCACUUCAGGUAUUUGAAGACUACUAUCAUCUUUCCAUGAAGGGACGUGGGUGGCGCUGUGGGU